rnacentral:rRNA from 1 species
UACGUAGGGGCAAGCGUUGUCCGGAUUAUUGGGCGUAAAGAGCGUGUAGGCGGCCAGGUAGGUCCGUUGUGAAACUCGAGGCUCAACCUCGAGACGCCGGUGGAAACCGUAAAGCUAGAGUCCGGAAGAGGAGAGUGGAAUUCCUGGUGUAGCGGUGAAAUGCGCAGAUAUCAGGAAGAACACCCGUGGCGAAGGCGGCUCUCUGGGACGGUACUGACGCUGAGACGCGAAAGCGUGGGGAGCGAACAGG